ACUGACACACUCACCAGGAAAUACAGAGCGAGGCUUGUGGAGUAAGGCACCGGAAGUAUUAUAUACUUGCAUGGGACUUAAGACAAAAAAAACAUUCUUCACGUAAGGGGAAGAAAAAGUGGCACAGCAUGCUGGGCAUACAGGAACCUGGAGAGCAGGCGAGCUGCAAGGUGCCUUCCUCUGCACCGAUAAUAUAUAGAUAGAUUCAAAGUUAUUCCAAGAAAUGGGGAAAUCAGCUUUGAAGUUCGGAUCCGUCCCAAAAUCAUUUCACAGGUUACACCGGAUCUGUUUAUGCAGAGGAUUACGUUGGAUUCUGUGAAUUACCUCGAUGACCAUCAUUUAAAAAAAAAAAAUUUCUGUAAUGAAAUGGUUAACAAGAGUUGUGUAUGGGGGCGGGG